UACGUAUGGUGCAAGCGUUAUCCGGAUUUACUGGGUGUACAGGGAGCGCAGGCGGCGCGGCAAGUCCGAUGUGAAAACCCCCGGCUCAACCGGGGGACUGCAUUGGAAACUACCGGGCUGGAGUGCCGGAGAGGUAGGCGGAAUUCCUGGUGUAGCGGUGAAAUGCGUAGAUAUCAGGAGGAACACCAGUGGCGAAGGCGGCCUACUGGACGGUGACUGACGCUGAGGCUCGAAAGCGUGGGGAGCAAACAGG
rnacentral:rRNA from 1 species